UACGUAGGGUGCGAGCGUUGUCCGGAAUUAUUGGGCGUAAAGGGCUCGUAGGCGGUCUGUCGCGUCGGCCGUGAAAACCUGCAGCUUAACUGUGGGCGUGCGGUCGAUACGGGCAUCACUGGAGUUCGGCAGGGGAGACUGGAAUUCCUGGUGUAGCGGUGAAAUGCGCAGAUAUCAGGAGGAACACCGGUGGCGAAGGCGGGUCUCUGGGCAUGAUCUGACGCUGAGGAGCGAAAGUGUGGGGAGCGAACAGG
rnacentral:rRNA from 1 species